rnacentral:lncRNA from 1 species
ACGAGCAUGGAUUGCAAGAGUAACAAAUACAAAAUGAACUUCUGCUUGGACAUCUGAUUUUUCUCUGAAUACCCUGGUGUCCAGAGCAAAAUGAGAAACCAUCUAACUAGAAGUUCUUACUGUUGCAAACAAGGAAACAUUCCAGAGGAAAUAUAUCCUCUGUAGAGGAGGAUUCCUGUGCUCUGAGGUUUUUCUGAUGGUGAAGGAAGAAGAUUAGUUCCCUACAAAAGUUACAGAUUUGGGGGGUUUAUUUCUAACAAUGCUCAGUGGGAUCUUGCAAGGAAAGUUGGAACCGUACAAUGAACAAUGUUAUCCACUGGGAUUUGCUAACAAAUACAUAAGUGCUAUUACUUGACUUGGGCUUUUUUUGUUGUUGUUAAAUGCACCCAAAUACAAUAGCCCCAAUGCAGUCAUUUGAUGCAGUCGGAGAUAGAACACUUAAGAAUUUCCUUCAAUUCUUCUUCAAGUGUUUACUGAGCCCUUGAUAGACGCCAAGAUUACCUUAAUAAUUACUAUGUGAGCUUUAUUAGGAAAAUUGGUAAUUUAAGGGGUCAAUUAUAUAGCUCUAUAUCUUAGAAAAGCAGAAAAAAAUCUUGCCAGCAUCUAGCUCCGUGGUAUCCUCUGUUAUCCUGUUUGGUCGGUCAUAUCUUCCCAGUUUCGUUUAGGUUGACUGAUAACGGGCCUAGAGAGGGAGAAGAUCCAGAAUGCUUGGAGAAGGAUUAGCCCUACAGAUUCAACUUCGGAAUUCCCAGGAUAUACACAGAGCUCACUGGAACAUCUGACUAGUGCGGAGGUGAAAAUUAAGGGCAUCACGCUGAUGUCAGGCGACGGGAGGCAGGUGAAGGACAGCCGGACGGGAAGGGCUGCAGAGACUUGGGCGAGCGAGCCUCCCUCAGCAGACUUUUGUUCCAACAUGGAAUUGGCAUGAAUCUCUCGCUCACUGUGUUCCACUCUGCAGUCCUGUGCCAUGAACACUGAAAAUGAGUCAGCCUAUCACUCCUGCCUGUCUCAUCCCUCUUGGUGCUCUCUAGAAAAGCAGAGUUUUGCCUUGCUUUUGCGAAAGUGGUGCUAAGAAAGGAAGCUCAGAUGUCAUCGGCUCACCUGCCCUGCCUGCGGUUGGAGGUGGUGCGGAGUGGCAACAUUUGCAGAGCUGUCUCUUUAAGAUUUUUUUCCUCUUAGGUUACCACUGCAAAGAUGACGGACUUUGCAGACAAUUGGGUCCACUCUCUUCACCUCUGCAAGACAACAGAGCUCUAGCUAUUGCAGGUGGCAGCCCUGCUUCGUAGCAAUAGACUCUGCGCUCAGCGCCCAGACCUGCCUCCUGAUGGGCGUUCAAUGAAUGCCUUGUGAGUUGAACUUGAGUUAGUAUCCAAGCAUCCCGUGCAGUGCUGGGGACCCUCCGGUCCAUGUGAGCGGGUCCCAGAGUGCGGACCUUCCCAGUGCAUUUCAGUGGAGGUGUUGCUUCUGUCUGUUUUCUUCAGUUCCCUCAGUCUGCUGCCCACUCAUUUCCCAUGACCCGUGCCCGGGCACCACCCUUCCUCUGCCAGAGCAGGCUUCUGCUUUCCACACAAGCACAGAGAGAAUCAGAG